UUUUAUUAAAUGAGGAUUUUGAAAAUCUUCCGAGGGUAUUUAUUUACCCAAUAAAAA
rnacentral:tRNA from 1 species